UACGAAGGGGGCUAGCGUUGUUCGGAAUUACUGGGCGUAAAGCGCACGUAGGCGGAUUUGUAAGUCAGGGGUGAAAUCCCGGGGCUCAACCUCGGAACUGCCUUUGAUACUGCAAGUCUCGAGUCCGAUAGAGGUGAGUGGAAUUCCUAGUGUAGAGGUGAAAUUCGUAGAUAUUAGGAAGAACACCAGUGGCGAAGGCGGCUCACUGGAUCGGUACUGACGCUGAGGUGCGAAAGCGUGGGGAGCAAACAGG
rnacentral:rRNA from 1 species